AUGACGCUCAAUUCUAAACAUUGCUGUGCAAAACCACUAUUUUUGUUAACUUUAUAUAAAUCUUUUUAACUCCACCAAGGCUUUUGAGAUCGAGGCAUACCUCUCCUAUGUUGUUCAUUAUCCCUUAACACUCUUACAUGACUGAUUGUUUGCUUCUUGAAAUUUAGUUGAGUUCACAUUUCUGGGCUAAAUUUUAUGUCUGUAAAAAGUCUGUGGCUCUCAUCGUGCUGCUACCCUCCUCUGCCCCUCUUCUGCUACAUCGUUUGAGGAACCCAGUAAUGAGACUUGAACACUGCAUUCAAGGUGACAACUGCUGCUGUUUUCACUGCUUACAACACCCAAGCCCUUUCCUGACUGAUAACAAUUCUACAGUUAUUACAUCUGAGUUAGCGUAAUUGUACGGCUCUAAAUUUCUGAAUUCGCUGUUUCUAACACUUCUCUUUUAAAACGCCCUGCCACUGUGCCUCGUGUGCCAUGCCGAACGCGUCUGUCAUUACGAACGCGUCUGUCGAGUCCUCCCACAGUUAAACAUCUCGACUGACGCAUUUUACCUAGUCGGGCACAUACAAACUAAAAUAUUAUUGCCGUAGACGAUUCUCCAAAUUCCUCGAAAUAAAAAAAAAUAAGCCGUUUUUUGACUAAAUAGUAGGGGAACACCCUCCUUGCGGGGCACCUGACGGCCCGCGCCUGACCUCCACAAAAUGGCCGCACAGGACUGGGUCCCCCCGACGGGAGCGGGGCGACGGGGCCGGGUCGGGCAGUGGCCGCUCCGUCUUUCUGGGGGCCAUCGGCACCUAAAAGGUGCCCUCAUGCUAGAUUGGAUCAGGGUGCUCCGCUUUGCACUUAGCUAACCCUGGAGCAAGCCGAACAGAGAUCACAUAAAGCCUUCUUCACAUCUACAAAGAUGCAGCCCAGCCCUCCGAGGGAUUGAAAACGCAUUAAAGUGUCAUACUUCACAUCCUGGAGCAGGGCUGGAAGGGCAAGCUGCUGGGGAACGCCACCAGCCCUGUCAGCUCCGAUUCAUGCCACCAGCUCCUGCCCUUGCUGACGGUCUUGCUGCUCGCCUGCACAGAAGAUGCGCUAACAAAAUUGUUUGCCUUUAUUUAUUGAUGUGCAGCAUUACACGGCAAAAAUGCACAGCCCAAGCUUGGAAGAGACUAGAAGCUGAUACUUGCCUCCAACCAACUGUAGUAGCAAUGGGGUUGGGUUUUAUUCCUUAUUACUGAGGCAGAGGGUGGAUUUAAAGCUACCAAUAAACACAAGAAAAUAAGCUAGAUGGGAAAGGUGAGGAGGGUACAGGGUGGAGGGAAGGAAUAAAAAAAAAAAGACAUCAGCAAUGAGGAUGAAAGAAGAAAGGACAGAGAAAAUAGAAACAGGACAGAAGAGACAAACAGAAAACUAUUUCUGCCACCCGCAGCACGGGUAUCGGUCAGAUGCGAUGCUGCUUUCAGAAGAGUGAAUUGAAGCAACAAAAAUGCAGCUUCAAAGAGGAAUAGCUGACCUACCUGGCUGCCGGUCAGAGCCGGAGGGGAAUGAAAAGUGGGAGACACGUGAAAAGCAGCGUGUCCCUGUGGAAGCAGCCUCUGCGCUGUUCCCCCCUCCGCAUCUCCCCGGUGUCCUGGAGGGGAGAGCAGCCUCCCCGCCUGGCUCCCAGGGACUCUUUAAUUCCUGGAUGCCCUUAGGGCCUCCGCAAUUACUGUUUUGCAGCCCCCCCUUCACAAAUCGUUAAACAAAGCCAUCGAGAAAUCGCUUCAAAGCUUCAAUCUACCUUAAGCGAGUCUCUUAAAGACCCUCCCUAAAUGUCUAGAAAGAGGGGUUUAA